GCUAAAUAUGUUUGACGUUAAUAUAUUUUUCUCCACUUUAGCUAGUUCAGAGCUAAAUAUUGAGCUAAUAUAAUUUGAGCUGACAAGCGGAAGUGAACUAUUAACAUAAAAGCUGAGCCAACUAUGAAUCCUUCAUUGGUGAUGCAUCACUGCUGAUUUUUGGUAAAUGUCUGUAUUGCCUUUAAAAUGUCUCAUCCUUUAAUUUAAGCUGAAAUGUUUCACAAAAAAAUGAGCAACGUGAAAACAAGUUGUAUAGAAAUUUGGAAAAGAGCUUUUAUUUUGGUACUUGACUUCCUGUUAUCGGCAAGUGAAUUUGCAUGUUAGCUAAAUAUUUAGCCCAUAGCUAGAUAGAUAUUUAGCCCUGGAAUAAAUAUUUAAAGUCAAACUAAAUUUUUGGCUUGCUAACUAGUUUGAAGCUAAAUAAGUAGCUUGCAACUGUUUAAUUGACAAGCGAAAUAUUUAGCUAGCUAACUAAAUUGUUUGAAACAAGAGUAAAACCAGUGAAAAUAUUAAAUUGAAAAAUUAACUGCCAUUUUUUUCAAAUUUUAUUAUCUAAAUAACCCAAAUUUUUGCUGUUAAUUAUUUACAGUGUAAGAUUAAAAACGGUAGAUAGAAGAAGUUAUGGCGGGUUUAGAGAGCGGUAGAGGAAGCGCCGGUGUGUCUGCCGUCGAGCAAAGCUAAUGGGUUCAGACAGUGGCAGAGAAAAGAAAGGUCAGCCAUGACACUCCAUGUUUGUGUCCUUUGUGAAAUCUCUGCCUCUCGCUAUCUACAGCAGCCUGGUGGCAAUAUUCUGCUCAUGUGGAGCCAAAAAUGAUACAGCAGGUUUCACAACUCGGGGGAUUUUAUUUCACCGCCAGUUAUGUGUCAAGAUUGUCACCUGCGACAACAGAACCGCCAUGUCAGGUAACGCCAGAGUCACGUUCAUCUGAUUGGGCGGAAGUGACCCGAACCGCUGCUGCUACUGCUGGAUUAUUUCUUAACCGCAGCUUUUAAAAGACUGCCAGCUAAAACCUAAUUCCUGCCCAGCAGCAACGGAGAAAGCUGGACGUUAAGCCUGCGGCUGGUGGUACGGGAGAGUGCGGUUCCUGUGGAAGCAGCUGUCUCCGUGAGACCGGCCGUUAAAUCCCCGCUGUCAGCUGCUGCUGCCUCGUGAAACAGCAUCAAUAAGGUGAAGGGUGAAAACUGGCGCCGUGGAUCUGCAGCCGGGUUGCCUAGCAGCAAACUGAAUGCGCCCUGAACGCGCCGUCUCCCCCUGCACGGCGGCGGGCGUCGCCUCCUCUGGAAGAGAGCGGCGUGAUGAAGCGACCCGGGACCAGCUGUGCUGCUCAGCGUCGCUCUCCAUCUUCCCCGGUCCUGGCUGACCCAUUUUCAGGAAACACCGAGGGAACAAACCAGAUGUGAACCUGCCUGGAGAGAUCAGCGGUGACAUAAUGAUUCACACACACACACACACACACACGAGCGAUUGCAGCGCUGCUCUGGGUCGUUUACAGGUGAAACAUAAAUACAUUGAUUACAGCUGAUUGGAGAAAUUUUCUUCUUACUCGAACCUGAUUAUACGUUCCAGAUGUUUUCUACCCAAAUUAUUUACAAUAUAAUUAUUAAAAAAAUCAUUUUUAAGUGAGUUAAUUGUUCGGUCUGUGAUUCAUUAAUCAAAUUUUAGUCGAAAUAAGCAAAAUUUUCAAUUCAUUUCAGCGAUGACAGUUACAGUAUAUCAGUAAUAUGGUGAAAAAAA